rnacentral:lncRNA from 1 species
UAACCUCUACGGCGCUACUCCUCUCACUCUCUCAGCCAGCAGCCUCUCUCUCUCUCAGCCAGCGGCAACAGCAGUCACCGCCUCCCCCGUCACCGAACUCUUCUAGUCAGCCAGAGGGUGCCUCGCCGCCGGCAGUGACAGAUAGAGGGUGCUUCGAGCUCUUGGCCGUCCAUCCUCGUCUCCUCCACGUCGCCGCCUUUGGCCGUCCAUCCUCGUCUUUUCUUCAUCGUCUUCGUCUUCGUCGUGUGGACUUGCAGAUCGAAGCGCGGUCGGCUGGCUUCCUCCAUUGUUGGUCAGUUUGCUCGAUCCCGUCUGUCUCGCCGUUCCUCCCUUGCUGCCUGUUUCGUUCCUCCCUUGCUGCCUGUUUCGUUCCUCCAUGACGUCAGUUUGGUUCCUCUGUCGAUAGCUUUGCUUUAGUUUUUUUUUUCUUUUGUUAAUUUCUAUGAUUUUGACUUUCUAUUUUUUAAAGAUUCAACUCUGUUUGCUUCAAUUUAUGGUUCUGUAUUUUGUUAAUUUUACUGAGUUACUGAAAUCUGAGAUCUGAUUCUUGAGUUGCUAUUUCUGUUUCUAUUUGUUGUGUUCUGAAUCUGAAUUGGGGUGAGUUGAUAUUUUUUUCUGUUGCUGUUUCUGUUUUUAUUUGUUGUGUUCUGAAUCUGAAUUGGGGUGAGUUGAUAUUUUUUUCUGUUGCUGUUUCUGUUUCUAUUUGUUGUGUUCUGAAUCUGAAUUGGGGUGAGUUGAUAUUUUUCUGUUGCUGUUUCUGUUUCUAUUUGUUGUGUUCUGACUUCUGAAUUAGAGUUGGUGGUGGUAUGAUUAAUUUUGUCAUGGUGUUUUACAUGAUCUGCAUAUGAGGACAUACAUGUGUUACAGCUUCUUUAUACAAAUUUGUUAGACC